rnacentral:tRNA from 1 species
GCGCCUGUAGCUCAAUUGGAUAGAGCAUCUGACUACGGAUCAGACGGUUUGGGGUUCGAAUCCCUUCAGGCGUACCA